rnacentral:rRNA from 1 species
UACGAAGGGGGCUAGCGUUACUCGGAUUGACUGGGCGUAAAGGGCGCGUAGGCGGAUGGUACAGUCAGACGUGAAAUUCCUGGGCUCAACCUGGGGGCUGCGUUUGAUACGUGCUGUCUGGAGUUCGGAAGAGGGUCGUGGAAUUCCCAGUGUAGAGGUGAAAUUCGUAGAUAUUGGGAAGAACACCGGUGGCGAAGGCGGCGACCUGGUCCGAUACUGACGCUGAGGCGCGAAAGCGUGGGGAGCAA